rnacentral:tRNA from 1 species
AUAAUUUUAAGUUAUAGUAAGACUAUUAAUCUUCAAAAUUAAAUGAAUAAAUAAUUUAUAAAUUAUA